UACGGAGGGUGCAAGCGUUAAUCGGAAUAAUUGGGCGUAAAGAGCGCGUAGGUGGUUUGUUAAGUGCGUUGUGAAAGACUCGGGCUUAACCUGGGGGUGUCAACGCAAACUGACAAACUAGAGUACAGUAGAGGGUCGUGGAAUUUCCGGUGUAGCGGUGAAAUGCGUAGAGACCGGAAGGAACACCAGUGGCGAAGGCGACGACCUGGGCUGAAACUGACACUGAGGCGCGAAAGCGUGGGGAGCAAACAGGAUUAGAUACCCUGGUAGUCCACGCCGUAAACGAUGUCAACAAGCUGUUUGUUUGCUUAAGAGUAAAUGAGUGGCGCAGCUAACGCGAUUAGUUGACCGCCUGGGGAGUACGGUCGCAAGAUUAAA
rnacentral:rRNA from 1 species